GGUUUCCGCCUGCGUCUUCGAGUGGGAAGCCGGAGCCGACUGAUUCUCUGCUCUGGCUGUGGACUUUGCAAACUUACAAACCAGAGUGGAGUGGAUCUCCAAAACAAUAUGGAGUUCGCUGACAAUCCAGAAAGAAAAGAAACCAACCAACCGACAACACCUCCCAAACUUGAUGCUUUCUCUGGUCACAUGUCUCCAAGAGUACAGAGAUCCUUUCAACAUUUCAGCAGUGGUUGGAAGUUACAGCUCACAGUUUUUGAAAUUUAUAUAUUAAUAUGUUUGUGCAUGUGAAAAGACAAAAAUUCCUUUGAUUGAAGGUGAAGAAGCACACAGACAAAAAGGCACAGAAAGAAAGACCCAUCAAAGUAGCGGGCACUGGGACGCUGAAGUCUGCGCACAGUCUUUCAUGCUAACGGGUUCAGGGCCAAGGUUUAUGCAAUAGUUCACACACACGCGCACACACACACACACACACACACACACACACACACAUACACAGCCUACUAUGAGCCUUACCUGCACAUCUUCACCUGCAUUGUAUUUCCCUUCUAUUUCUUUGCCCAGUUCACCUUCUGGCAGCUUAAGAUCUUCACGGACUUCGCCAGUUUCUGUCAGCAGGGAAAGGAAUGAGGAAAACUGCACGUCUCCACCAUCAGUCUGCCCACAAUUCCAAGAGUCUUUGCAAAACCCAUUCAACCACACUAUCUGCUGCUAGCGCAAUUAAAAGGAAUGAGAUGUGGGCCCUGAUGUCUCCAACCAGAGUGACAGAAGGCAGCAAGCCAUGCAGGAGGAGUGUCAAAGUGCUCCACCAUCGGCACCACCUCUCUGAUCAUUAUUUUUCAGAUAUAAAUUCCACAGUACGGCUACCCCAAGAGUGAGGACACACUCUUAUGUAACUUUUCAAACUAAUCUAUUAUCCAUUUCCAAAUGUGCAGGUUGCUCUGAUCUGCCUCCUGGAUGACACCUGUGGCUUAGUGCUGUCAUGUGGGCUGUUUUCUUUUACGUGGAACAGUUUGAUCACCCUGUCUUUCAAGGCACUGACACUCACUUGGUUUAUAAAAUGUCUCUCAGUCUAGAUCUGCUUUGUUGCCUUAUAAUUCAUGUAAUGUGUGUUUUGGAAGAAAUACUAUCUAAAUAAUGUGUCCUCAGAGUACCAAUCACACCAGAAGGGAAAUGUAUCUAUCCCACUAAUGGUGACACUAACUUUGACCAACUGGGGUGGUAUCUGCAAGAUGUUUAUAGUCUAAAUAUAACUUUUUUUCCAAUUUAUCAGUCAGAUUUAUAUCAGUAAAUUCUCAACCCACAAAAUGCCUAUAAAAUGACCUCUGAGCCAACAGAUAGUGAGCUAAGCUGCUCGCCUAGAUUGUACUGUAAUUAUCCGUCCUUAUAAGAUGGUCAUAGCUACCUGUUCAAAGCCACGAGGAUCUGGUUCACCUUUCUCUUCCUCCAUCUUCCUUCUUUCCUCUUGUAUCUCCUUAACUCGUCUGUCUCUAAAAUUGUCAGCCAACCUUCUUUAUCCACUGCCCAAUCACAGGCUCUAGCCUUAUCUUGUGCCUGCCCUCACCUGUAUAUAGACAGCAAUCCACAUUUCCCCCUUUUUGUUCAGUUAAAAGGCUCUUUCCUCUCAAAAAGAAAUUGAAUACCACGAUUAGCAUUUGUAAUUUACAAAGUAUAAGAUAUAUCUAACAUCCAGUCCAUCAUUUUCUCAAUUAAAUAGAACACUCAGUUAUCUAACCUAACUUUAAAGAGGCUUAUCAUUCCAUAUUGGUUAUACUACAGUUUAUCUUGUAUACUAUCUGAAAACUAUCCUCUCAAAUAUAUUUAUUCAAUGCUAAAUAGCCUAGGUUGUCUAUGAGACUAUAACUAGUCUUCAAUCCAGUCAGAAUUCCAAGAACAAACAAUAUUGUCUGAAAAUACAGGAAGCCUGACACAGCUUCCAGAACUGAGAUAAGUUGUCGAGACAGCUGCCUACCUACACAGUCCCUGUAUGUCAGGAAGCUGGAGCAUCAGUCUUCAGCCUUCUGGCCCAGGAUCAUCUGACAGAUCUUUGAAACAGGACAUUUUAAAGACUAGCUUAUUCUGUCUCGGCAGAACUAAGCUGUCCUAUCCUGCAACUUGAGUCCUCUCAUGAACAGUACAGGUCUGUAGAUGAACUGAGGCAAUUCCUGUCUAGUAGCUAUCUCCCCACAACUGGAGCAACUCUAUUGAUGUUCACUUCCUUCUUUGAAUCCAAAAGGGGAUGCGGUCAGGAGCAGACAUGUCUCCACAACAAAUGAAUAAAUAACAUUAAAUGUCA